CCCUCUGCCUGGCUGCCCAGUCUGGAAAGUGAGGAGCGUCUCUGACCGGCCGCCAUCCCAUCUAGGAAGUGAGGAGCGCCUCUUCCCGGCAGCCAUCCCAUCUGGGAAGUGAGGAGCGUCUCUGCCCGGCCGCCCAUCGUCUGAGAUGUGGGGAGCGCCUCUGCCCCGCCGCCCCGUCUGGGAGGUGAGGAGCGUCUCUGCCCGGCCGCCCCGUCUGAGAAGUGAGGAGACCCUCCGCCCAGCAUCCGCCCCAUCUGAGAAGAUCACGUCAGAUGUUUUUUGGACCCCCAAUUCCAGCCACCAGUUUGAAGACCCCUACAGAGGAUGGGGAUUGUCAGGCCUCUGAGCCCAAGCUAAGCCAUCACAUCCCCUGUGACCUGCACGUAUACAUCUAGAUGGCCUGAAGUAACUGAAGAAUCACAAAAGAAGUGAAAAUGGCCUGUUCCUGCCUUAACUGAUGACAUUACCUUGUGAAAUUCCUUCUCCUGGCUCAUCCUGGCUCAAAAGCUCCCCGGCUGAACACCUUGUGACCCCCACCCCUGCCAGCCAGAGAACAACCCCCUUUGACUGUAAUUUUCCACUACCUACCCAAAUCCUAUAAAACGGCCCCACCCCUAUCUCCCUUCACUGACUCUUUUUGGACUCAGCCCGCCUGCACCCAGGUGAAAUAAACAGCCUUGUUGCUCACACAAAGCCUGUUUGGUGGUCUCUUCACACGGACGCGAGUGAAAGGGAUCAGCAUGAGACUAUAACUUCUUCUUCCACCCUCUGUCCCGUGACUUCACUCUGCACUCUUCAACCAAUCAACGAUCUCCACCCUUCAGCCCACUCCAAAACCCUUGAACACCCUAGCCCCAAACUCUUAGGGGAGAUGGAUGUGAGGUUUCCCCCCAUCUCCUCAUUCAGUGACCCUACAAUUAAACCUGCUUCUCUGCUGCAAACCAGUUAUAACUGUAGUAGGCUCAUUGCCCAGUGCACACAGCAAAUCAACAGGAGACACUGGGUUGCAGGAGAGAAGAGGUUUCAUCGUAGGGUCGCCAAAAGAGAUGAGGAGUUGAAGAAUGUAGGGUGAAGUCACGGGACAGGGAGAUGAAGAAGCCACAUUCUCAUGCUGAUCCCAUUCCCCAGUGGGUAGCCUUCACACUGGUUGCUGGAAUUCAAGGUCUGAAAAGCAUCUUUUUACAUUUUUGUUUAUGUAUUUAUUAUUAUUAUUAUUAUUAUUAUUAUUAUUAUUAUUAUUAUUGAGAUGGAGUCUCACUCUGUCUCCCAGGUUGGAGUAUAGUGGUACAAUCUCGGCUCACUGCAACCUCUGCCUCCUGGGUUCAAGCAAUUCUCCUGUCUCAGCCUCCUGAGUAGCUGGGAUUACAGGUGUGAACCACCUCCCCCCACCACCUCCACUCCGCUAAUGUCCUUUGUAUUUUUAGUAGAGAUAGGGUUUCACCAUGUUGACUGGGUUGAUCUUGAAGUCCUGACCUCAAGUGACCUACCCACCUCAGCCUCCCAAAGUGUUGGGAUUAUGGGUGUGAGCCACCGUGCCUGGCCCUGAAAAGCAUCUUAAGUGAUUCUUUCUUUAACAAAAGCCUUAUGACUCUAAUAUCAGAGAUUCUGUCUAUAGGAACAAUGGGGGUGCACAUGGUCAGUAUCUAGCUCUACCUGAGUUUUAGCAACAAGGAAAUGGACCAAAGUGCAGCCCGAAUAACACUUAAUUAUAAGUAUGUUUCUGUCCAGAACCCAGCAUGCAAUUCUUGUCAGCCCUGUGGGAAUGGUUUCACAGUGUCUCGAUAUACUGACUUGCUGUGUGCAUUGGGCAACAAACCUAUUACAAUUACACAUGGAUGUAACUGGAGGUCAUUACAUUAAUUGAAAUAAGCCAGGCACAGAAAGAUAAACAAUGCAUGUUCUUACUCCCAAGUGGAAGCUAAAAAAGUUGAUCACAUGGAGGUAGAGAAUGGAAUGAUGGAUACUAG
rnacentral:lncRNA from 1 species